CAGCCGUAAACUAUGCUCGCUAGGUGUCAGGCAUGGCGCGACCGUGUCUGGUGCCGCAGGGAAGCCGUGAAGCGAGCCACCUGGGAAGUACGGCCGCAAGGCUGAAACUUAAAGGAAUUGGCGGGGGAGCACAACGACGGGUGGAGCCUGCGGUUUAAUUGGACUCAACGCCGGACAACUCACCGGGGACGACAGCAAUAUGUAGGCCAGGCUGAAGACCUUGCCUGAAUCGCUGAGAGGAGGUGCAUGGCGUAGACGUCU
rnacentral:rRNA from 1 species